rnacentral:rRNA from 1 species
UACGGAGGGGGCGAGCGUUAUUCGGAAUCACUGGGCGUAAAGGGCGCGUAGGCGGCUCGGUAAGCGUGUGGUGAAAGCCUGGGGCUCAACCCCGGGUCGGCCAUGCGAACUGUCGAGCUGGAGCACUGUAGAGGCAGGCGGAAUUCCGGGUGUAGCGGUGGAAUGCGUAGAGAUCCGGAAGAACACCGGUGGCGAAGGCGGCCUGCUGGGCAGUAGCUGACGCUGAGGCGCGACAGCGUGGGGAGCAAACAGG